GUGAAAGCAAGUUCCCGAAUCAACAUCGUUCUAAAGUACAUCAUUUAAUAAUCCUUAUCUUGCCUUUGGUGAUAUUUUUUUUCUUUCAAGUACUUGUAGCUGUUAUAAUUGCAUCCUUGUACGUAGUUUCAAGUCAUUGCGGUUCUUUCUCUGUUUUGAGCUGUUGUAAAUUGGAGUGGAAGUGGCUCUAGUCUUAUCUACCACCCAAACGGGAGGCUCCAGGACCCUGCAAUGUGAAUGGAGUCCAGUUAAACAAGUUGAUGCGCUACACCAGGACAUUGCAAAAGGUGAGUGGGACGUGUUCAUGAAGCAUGAUGUAGCACUCUCAGUAAUUAAAAAGGAUUGCUAGAGCCUAGAGGACCACUUUUUUUUUUUUAUUUACAGAAAGUUAUAAUAAAUAAGAUUUCAUUCA